rnacentral:rRNA from 1 species
AAUAGAUACCCCGGUAGUCCACGCCGUAAACGAUGAAUACUAGGUGUGGGGGUUGUCAUGACCUCCGUGCCGCCGCUAACGCAUUAAGUAUUCCGCCUGGGGAGUACGGUCGCAAGAUUAAAACUCAAAGGAAUUGACGGGGGCCCGCACAAGCAGCGGAGCAUGUGGUUUAAUUCGAAGCAACGCGAAGAACCUUACCUAGACUUGACAUCUCCUGAAUUACUCUGUAAUGGAGGAAGCCCUUCGGGGCAGGAAGACAGGUGGUGCAUGGUUGUCGUCAGCUCGUGUCGUGAGAUGUUGGGUUAAGUCCCGCAACGAGCGCAACCCUUAUUGUUAGUUGCUACCAUUUAGUUGAGCACUCUAGCGAGACUGCCCGGGUUAACCGGGAGGAAGGUGGGGAUGACGUCAAAUCAUCAUGCCCCUUAUGUCUAGGGCUACACACGUGCUACAAUGGCUGGUACAGAGAGAUGCAAUACCGCGAGGUGGAGCCAAACUUCAAAACCAGUCUCAGUUCGGAUUGUAGGCUGAAACUCG